ACUCUUACGGGAGGCAGCAGUGGGGAAUAUUGCGCAAUGGGGGAAACCCUGACGCAGCAACGCCGCGUGAGUGACGAAGGCCUUCGGGUCGUAAAGCUCUGUCGUAGGGGACGAAGCUCUGACGGUACCCCGCAAGUAAGCCACGGCUAACUCCGUGCCAGCAGCCGCGGUAAU
rnacentral:rRNA from 1 species